CUCCGGCUCCUCUUCAGGCCCUCGGCCGGGACGGGGCCUGCUCCCGCUCACCACCGACAAGGCCGCACUUUCGGGGUGCAAAGCUGGCGGAACCGAAGUCUGCAGCCGCUAUGGGGUUGGGAAGCACUAGGUCAGAGCACGUUUCCGGUGUUUCUAUGGCGAUCGGCCGCCGCUGCCCCGCCGCACUUCCUGCUCUAGUCAGAGUCGGAACUAAUAGUCGCAGGGGCUCGGGCGGCCGGGCAGCGAGGACUGUCUGUGCCAGAGCACGCUUCCGGCGUUGCCCCAGGCGCGGGGAUGAGGCGGGGCCUGCGCUGUCAAUCCGCGGGCCACGCCCCCGGGGCUCCCGGCUGUGCUGGAGCUGGAGCGCGCCGGCCGAGGCGGGGAAGGCGGUCGGAGGCCCCAGUCUGUGGCCUUACCACCCUGAAGGUGCCUGAUCUCGUCUGAUCUCUUUCAAUUGGCAUGGUAUUUUCAGAGUUCAUCUAUAUUGUAAGAGCGAACGAGCACAAAUCAGGGGAGCAGCAGAGGGAGAGGGAGCCCGAUGUGGGGCUCGAUCCCAGGACCCCCGGAUCCUCACCUGAGCCGAAGGCAGAUGCUUCACCGACUGAGCCACCCAGGCGCCCCUGGGUUUUUUUCAGGUGAUGAACAUGUUCUAGAACUAGAUGGAGGUGAUGGUUUUACAACAGUGUGAAUGUAUGAAGUUCUGCUGAAUGUACACUUUAUUUUUUUUUAAAGAUUUUAUUUAUUUAGUUUUGCCCUGGGGGGGGGUUGGAGAGCAUGA